UUGUUCAAAGAAUGAUAUUGGCUAAACUGUACAUUAUAGGGCGUGGAGUUGAGAGUCGUAAAUUUUUUUGUGGUUAGCUAUUAUCCUAUG